GACGAACGCUGGCGGCGUGCUUAACACAUGCAAGUCGAGCGGUAAGGCCCCUUCGGGGGUACACGAGUGGCGAACGGGUGAGUAACACGUGAGCAAUCAGCCCAUCCCAUCGGGAUAGAUCCGGGAAACCGGCGCCGAUACAGGAUACGAACACCUCAUCCCUCCGACGGUGGUGGAUAGUUACGGCGGUCAGGGAUGGGCUCGCGGCCUAUCAGCUUGUUGGUGGGGUAAUGGCCUACCAAGGCGUCGACGGGUAGCCGGCCUGCGAGGGUGACCGGCCACACUGGGACUGAGACACGGCCCAGACUCCUACGGGAGGCAGCAGUGGGGAAUAUUGGACAAUGGGCGAAAGCCUGAUCCAGCAACGCCGCGUGAGGGAUGACGGCCUUCGGGUUGUAAACCUCUUUCAGCAGGGACGAAGCGCAAGUGACGGUACCUGCAGAAGAAGCACCGGCCAACUACGUGCCAGCCGCCGCGGUAAGAC
rnacentral:rRNA from 1 species